CACUUAGGUGUUCUGGGCUGUACGCGCGACGCUGAGGCGCUCAACGAACUUACGCUCUUGCCAGGAAGGGUCGGGUAAUCUUUUGGCAACGCGUCGAAAUGGGGAUAGACUAUAGUAAUUACUAAUCUUCCACGAGGGAUUCCUAGUAAGCGCGUGUCUUCAGCUCGUGCUGAUUACGCCCCCUGCCCUUUGUACACGCUGCCUGUCGCUCCUGCUGAUGGAGUGAUCCGAUGAAUAAUAAGUUAAUUCGGACUGCGACAUUGUUCAGGUCCUGGACUUUGCUGCAGAAAGUUUAGUGAACCUUAUCACUUAGAGGAAGGAGAAGUCCUAACA
rnacentral:rRNA from 1 species